rnacentral:misc_RNA from 1 species
AACGCACGAGACCUGCGGACCUGCGGAGGGAUCAUUAAUGAGAAGCUGCCCCUCGUGGGUAGACCUCCCACCCUCUGUGAACUUACCUUUGUUGCUUUGGCAGGCCCGUCCUCUGGACCGCCGGCUUCGGCUGGCCCGUGCCUGCCAGAGGAUUCCAGACCCUGUCUGUCAGUGUUGUCUGAGUCUAUAUGAAAUCGUUAAAACUUUCAGCAACGGAUCUCUAGAUCGGAAGAGCACACG